AUCUGCAGGCAUGGUUUUUGUAACGAGCAAGGCUAACCAUUGUGAGAUUACCUCAAUUCAACUGUAAAAGUCACAGAAGAACCACUAAAGGAAGUUAGUGGAAGAAUCGUAGAAGAGGAGGAGGAGCAAAAGGCUUAAAAGAUAACAUACAUAGUGACCAUGGGACAACGACAUAAAUAAUAGGUCUGUGAUGGAAGGACUGGUGAUUUGGGCAGGGCUCUCUGCGGGGCAGACGGCCAAUUUGCAAAAAAGCGAUGAUGCGAAUUGAUGCUGGUGUUCAUGGUGGCCAAGCGAACGAGCAGCAUCAGCAAGAAAGCAGCAGCCCGAAGGUGCUGCAUGAGAAAUGCCUGGGGACAGCACGAGCAAAGCACACUCUCGGGCCUGUCGGUUCGACCAUCUGCCAGCAAGCUGCCUGGGACCAGCGGCCACGCCAGGCCAUCGGUGUCCUCACAAGACUGUCCUACAGUCUUGGUCAACCGGGGAGUUCCGGCCACCCCAGAGCACAGUGGAGCCACUGGAAUGGACUGCAGGAGAAGGUCCAGAUCUGCGAUUCAUCUGACAUUGAAUCUUUGCAAAAGCUGAUUCAACUGUUUGUGUGCUUGGACUCUGAACUGUUUCUGAGAGAACCUUCCAGAGGAGAGGAAGGCAUGACUGUGUGGGUGUAGGAACCUCUUCAGCUGGAUCUUCUGGUGAUGGAGUAGUACCAUGGCACCACUGCCUGAUUGGGUCAGUGAAGAUAAAAAUUUCACACCAGUUAAUGCAUACUAGGGGUUUUUUUUUUGGCUGAAAAAUGCUAUCGUUCCUUGAUUCCUUUUUUCUUUUUUUUUUUUUUUUUUUUUUUUUUUUUUUUUUUUUUUUUUUUUAAAAAAAAAAAAAAAAAAAAAAAAAAAAAAAAAAAAGUUCUAGGAAAAAUAUUAAACCCGCCUUUUGAGCAUUUCAAGACUUCAUUCAUAUUUUUUCAGCAUUUUUGAUUAUUUUCUGUCUACAUUGUAAUGUAUGGUAGAGAA
rnacentral:lncRNA from 1 species